CAAAACAACUUCACACAGUAAAGCUCAUUGGUGUCAACUUUGGGGGAGGCACGCAUCUGGGGCGCGGAGAGGUCGAGUGACCCGCUCAUGGACUUGCACCCAGGUCUCACCGAGGCGGGAUUCAUGCCCUUAACCAUUAUGUCAUGCCGCUGGAUGUCCAAUUAAAUGACAACUCACUUGAGGGGGAAACCAAGAAGAAACUGACCAGUCUUAUUAUCGAUUCUUUACUUUUGUUUUGUCUCCAUUCUCCACUGAGCUAAGGGGCUACACUCUCAUUUAUCCAUCAGGUGCCCAUGUGAACAUGUGCUUUUUCUCCUUGAGUAUCUCAAGUAUUUCACGCUUCUCCAGACCUGACAUUUUGUUAUAUUUUUGGUUGAUAAUCUGUUGAGAAAUAGCUUCUUAGAUAAUUUCACCAUCAUCACUCAUGUCUAGGGAAUACCACUUAACCGUUGUGGAAAAAUUAUAGUUACUUAUAAAAUAACCCCUCUCAGGAAGGAAUUUGACCUUGACUGGAGGCCAUCAGGAGCCACUCAGCUUUGGUUAACAGCUCCCAGGAAGUUGUCUCUUGUGAUGGAACUUACUUGAGAAGCGUGGUGGGAUUCUUCAUCUCUUCUCAGUGGUGUCUGUUCACUGGCUUCCCCUCCCACAGCCACCUCUCCUGGAGAUGCAAUUGGCCAAUAUCCCCUCUCAGCUGCCAACUUGUCUCUGAAGGAGGAAAUACUUUGGAAACUUCGUUCCUUUUUAAAGAAAGUCUUUGGGAACCAUUGUUCGGGUAUACGUCACCCUCACUGACCUCAUCCCUGGAUGCCAUGACCUUAAUUUUUGUCUGCCGAGUCGUAUCGUCUUUGUUAAUCUUAAACUAGAGUUAUAGCAUGUGAAAACUUUUGAAAAGAUUAUUUUUGAAGCACUAAAGGUAAGUAAACUAAACUUGAAGUGGAGAAAAUCUUCACGCCUUCGUGGCUAGGAUGAGUGAUAGAAUACUGAAGGAAGACGUCCUCUCAAGCUUUAGCCUGGCUGACACCGACCACAGAGCUCCUGCUACAAGACGACAUCUGUGGGGAUACUGGCCUGGGCUUACUUCACCGUGGUGAUCUGUUUUUCCUGAAGAGAUGAAUUGAGAUCAUGGACGCUCCCUCGGGAGAGCGGCUGCACCAGUUUGCCCAUCUGAUUUACACCUCGGCACCAACAUCAGGUUCCAAAAAUUUCCAUGGGGCGAGCAAGAGAACCUGCCAGCCACCCAAGACAUGGCCCUGCAGACAGGCCUGGAUGCAGCGUCCCCGGCAGACGGUGGACCGUGCUGCAGGACACGGAUGCUUCCAUUCGCUCACCACGAAGAGAGGCGAGCGGCUUCCAGACCUGCGCGCCCAUCAGGCACAGCUCGAAUGAAGCCAGGUCAGGACAGGAGCUGACAGCGGCCACCUCCCAUCCUCCCAUCUCCCACCCGCUCAGAGGCGUCCCUGUACCUAGUUUCUCCAAAUGGCAACAACUCUAGAACAACUGUGAUAUUGACAUUGAUACUGUCCACCAAUCUGAUUCAGUUUCUCCUGUUUACUUGCGCUUACUUGUGUACGUGUGUGUGUUUAACUCUAAGCAAUUUAUUUCAGAUGUGUAGGUUUCUGUAUCCACCAUCACAAUCAAAAUAUGAAACUGUUACAUCACCAUAAGAAUCCUCUUUAUUGCCUAUUUAUAGGAGACUUCCUUCCCCAAUGUGUGUGAACACAUGUGUGUGAACAUAAGUUUUAAUUUCUCUAGGAUAAGUGCUCAAGUGUACAAUUAAUGAGUUGUGUGGCAAUUGCAUGUUUAGUUUUAUAAGAAACUGCCAAACUAUUUUCCAGAGUAACUGUACCAUUUCACGUUCCCACCAGCAAAGUAUGAGUGAUCCAGUUUCUCCUCAUCCUUGCCGGCAUUUGAUGGUGUUGUUUUUUCACCUUUAGUCAUUCUGACAGGCAUGUAGUGAUGUAUCAUUGUGAUUUUAAUUUGCAUUUCCCUAAUGCCUAAUGCUGAGCAUAUUUUCAUGUGCUUACUUGACAUCUGUAUAAUCUUUGGUGAAAUAUCUGUUCAUCUCUUUUGCUCACAAAAUGCAAAAAUCUUUUCACUAGUAAAUUCAUAGAUAUAUCAGCGGAGAUUUGCUAGGAUACAGGUGCAAGAAAGUUCAUUGUAACAAUAUUUUAGGAAUAAAACAGCAACAGCCACAAAGCCCACCCUGGAAACAGUGUAAAGAACGUUAGUAGGGAUUGACCCAAUUAUCACUGCUCUGUGGUAUGAUCAAACAGUGGGGCCAAAUAAUGGGACAAAGGUAAAAGUCUGGAGUCCCUUAAAGAAGGAAAGGUUACCACUCACCUCACAUGGAUUGUGACAUCCCAGAGACGACAGCUCCCAGGGAGAGGACAAGCAUCCCGAACUUCGCUUUCCCAUGGGGCGCUGCAGACACCACCUCAUCGGCCAGGGGUCCCCCUGGGCCCUCUGCAAAGCUCCCUUUGCUUCUGCUUGUGGGGUUUUGGGUCCCCUGGCUUUUUCCAGCCACUCUGGAAAGUCUUCCCACCAGGUGCCAGUUGGAAGUGGAGACCUCAGCACACACCUGGAGCGAUGUACUGAAGACUGAGCUGGUCCAGGCCACUCCAAGUUUCCCACGUUUCUCCUCUGUAAUGGAACCUGACUCUGUGUUUCGAUGUUUGAUUGCUGACACAUCUGAGGCUUCUACUCUCCCUCUUCCCCUGGUGCCCCACAUCCAGGCAAGCUGGAAAGCUCAGCUGCUCCCAGCUUUGGCACGGCGGCAGUUUCAAACCAUGCCAGCCCCUUCCUGGGGACAGUAGCUCCUACCUGGGCCCACCCACAGCCACAACACAAACCCCAAGCCGGUCUCCUUUCCUUGCUCUCUCAGCCAUUUCCAAACCCGCUUGGGAAGCUCUCCUGUUCUUCCCUGAAUGCCUCAUCAUGAAAGUAACUAAUCUUUCACACCCUCUUGGUGUGCGGCCACCGCACCCUCCCUGGUACGUCCAGGCCUGAGGCCCUAUUCUUAUAAUCCAUGACUGAAGUCUGUUCCUAUAACCCAUCCCUGACCUAAGAUUUCAUACUUUUUAACCAGUAAUGCAGUAGGUCUAAUCUCUUUUCAACUUAUUUUUUUAAAAUAAAAUGUUCUUACAUCUCAGGUAGAAAACAAAACAAAUCACAUUUCCGUUGCUACAGUAACACUCUGAAGUCAGUGAGGAAUCAAUUAUACGCAUCACAGUAUUUCACAUUUCUUUCCCAGCAGUUUGUUCCUCCCAACCCCACUCCACCAUUUUUAUUUAUUUAUUUAAAGAUUGGCACCUGAGCUAACACCUGCUGCCCAUCUUUUUUCUUUUUCUUUUUCUUCUCCCCAAAUCCCCCCAGCACAUAGUUGUAUAAUCUAGUUGUGAGUCCUUCUGGUUCUGCUAUGUGGGACGCCACCUCAGCAUGGCCUGAUGAGCGGUGCCAUGUCUGUGCCCAGGAUCCAAACCAGCAACACCCCAGGCCGCUGAAGCAGAGUGCACGAUCUUAACCACUCGGCCACGGGGGCGGCACACCACCAUUUUUAAAUAAAAGAACAUGGCUACUAAUUAACCCAUGUUAGAAGAUUUGCAGUGGUUCUCAAAUGCAAGCUAGUUUGUCCCUUAGGUAGGGUGACCAGUGGUCUUAGUGUGCCCAGGACUUUCCUGAUUUUAGCUCUGAAAGUCUGUAUCCUGGAAACCCCCCAGUCCCAGGUAAGUUGGGACAGUUGGUCACCCUACCCCCAGGGGAUCUUGGUAAGGUCUGGAGACAUUUUUGGUUGUUACGACUGUGUGUGUGUGUGUUCUACUGUAUCUAGUGAGUAGAGGCCACAGACGCUGCUAACCAUCUUACAACAUGUGGACAGUUCACCACAACAAAGGAUAUCCAAAAUGUCAACAGUGCUAAGGUUGAGAAACUGCUGUAGCACUGUGCUCUUCAAAGUGUGGUCUUUGGAUUAGCAGCUUGGAUACCAAGGAGAGUCUGCAUGUUAGAAAUGCAGCAACUCUGGGCCCAUCCCAGAGCCAGUGGGCCGGGGUCAGCCAGCCAUUUAACAAGCCCCCUGGGUGAUUUGCGUACACAUUGAAGCUGGAGAAGUGCUGCUCCAGUAUUUACGGUUUAUUCUUUCUGAGUGUCAGCAUGACACAGGCUCAGACAGUUCUGAUUAAUUAUAUUCACUGAUUUUUAUUGAGCUCCAGUGUCACCAUGGGGUCACCAGUAGCCUCUCUUUCCAGGGUGCCUUCUCACCCAGGGGCCUCUGAAAGCAUUGUUGACCUGUGACACGAUGUCUCAGAUUCAUCUUCUGCUCUCCUGCACCUGGAAGGAACCUUCUUUCUAAAGAGAGCUGCUUCCAUUUAGUGGAGAACAAGACUGAGAGACCAAAACCCGGCCGUGGGGUUGUACAUCUGAGCACGGGAUAGAAUAAGACAAUAGCCAAGAAGUUAAACAGACCUUUCCCUCACAGGGUCCUCCAAUGGGAUCCGUACAGUGAGUGGAUAGAAGCCGUGAAAGGAAACCUUAGAAAAAUACAAGUGACUGCAUUUCAGCCUAACACUCUUCUUUCACCCUUCAUCUGCAUGGGCACUAGUGUCAUUUAUCAUGCACAGUUUUAGUUUUGAACUCCACUUUCUCAAAGACCUUUGGACAAUUACGUAAUAACUAUAGCAAUACAGCAGUCCAAAUUUAAAAAGUUAAUAAAGCAUGUAAGCAAAUACAACUGCGUUAAUAUUAAGAGUCAUCAGAGGUGGAGAGUUAUUUCAUGGGAUGGCCUGUGUUUCAAGGGAAGCAGCUAAAAAUGAGGUGGCAAGUAAUGAUCUGGGAGCAGCAGUUGGAGGCCGGAAGAAUUCUGGGCGGGCGAGCUGCUGGGAAGGUAGGGGCUUGGGGAAACACCAGGCUUCCGCAGAGGCAGGAAGUGAAUUCUGCUAACAACCAAUGAGCUUGAAAAAGAACCUUGAGCCUCUGAUGAGACUGUGGCCCCGGCCAGCACCCUGCCUGCGGCCUGUGAGCGCGUGAGCCCGCGAGCAGAGAACCUGGUUGAGUCAUGCCUGGACUUCUGACCUACAGAACAGUAAAUGGGUGCUGUUUUAAGCUACUAGUUUGUGGUAAUUUGUUACACGGCAAUAGAAAACUAAUACAUUCCACCUUCUAUGUUCAAUUGUAGAGCAUAGGAUCCUUAAUCCUUUCUCUGUCCUGCCAUUCCAGAGGAACUGGUUAAAGUGUGUCAGUGACUGCAGGUCAUCACGGCAGGAUUUUCCCCAGGGAUGGGAGGGGUCGUCUGAAAGAGCCAUCACUUGAUUCUGUUCACCUCUGUUAUCAAUCACUACUGCAAAUGAUUUAGGCAUUUUCUUCCAUUUUUUCUAUUUAUCAAAA
ensembl:lncRNA